AUUGAACGCUGGCGGCAGGCCUAACACAUGCAAGUCGAGCGGUAGCACAGAGAGCUUGCUCUCGGGUGACGAGCGGCGGACGGGUGAGUAAUGUCUGGGAAACUGCCUGAUGGAGGGGGAUAACUACUGGAAACGGUAGCUAAUACCGCAUAACGUCGCAAGACCAAAGUGGGGGACCUUCGGGCCUCAUGCCAUCAGAUGUGCCCAGAUGGGAUUAGCUGGUAGGUGGGGUAACGGCUCACCUAGGCGACGAUCCCUAGCUGGUCUGAGAGGAUGACCAGCCACACUGGAACUGAGACACGGUCCAGACUCCUACGGGAGGCAGCAGUGGGGAAUAUUGCACAAUGGGCGCAAGCCUGAUGCAGCCAUGCCGCGUGUGUGAAGAAGGCCUUCGGGUUGUAAAGCACUUUCAGCGGGGAGGAAGGCGGUGAGGUUAAUAACCUCAUCGAUUGACGUUACCCGCAGAAGAAGCACCGGCUAACUCCGUGCCAGCAGCCGCGGUAAUACGGAGGGUGCAAGCGUUAAUCGGAAUUACUGGGCGUAAAGCGCACGCAGGCGGUCUGUCAAGUCGGAUGUGAAAUCCCCGGGCUCAACCUGGGAACUGCAUUCGAAACUGGCAGGCUAGAGUCUUGUAGAGGGGGGUAGAAUUCCAGGUGUAGCGGUGAAAUGCGUAGAGAUCUGGAGGAAUACCGGUGGCGAAGGCGGCCCCCUGGACAAAGACUGACGCUCAGGUGCGAAAGCGUGGGGAGCAAACAGGAUUAGAUACCCUGGUAGUCCACGCUGUAAACGAUGUCGAUUUGGAGGUUGUGCCCUUGAGGCGUGGCUUCCGGAGCUAACGCGUUAAAUCGACCGCCUGGGGAGUACGGCCGCAAGGUUAAAACUCAAAUGAAUUGACGGGGGCCCGCACAAGCGGUGGAGCAUGUGGUUUAAUUCGAUGCAACGCGAAGAACCUUACCUGGUCUUGACAUCCACAGAACUUUCCAGAGAUGGAUUGGUGCCUUCGGGAACUGUGAGACAGGUGCUGCAUGGCUGUCGUCAGCUCGUGUUGUGAAAUGUUGGGUUAAGUCCCGCAACGAGCGCAACCCUUAUCCUUUGUUGCCAGCGGUNNGGCCGGGAACUCAAAGGAGACUGCCAGUGAUAAACUGGAGGAAGGUGGGGAUGACGUCAAGUCAUCAUGGCCCUUACGACCAGGGCUACACACGUGCUACAAUGGCAUAUACAAAGAGAAGCGACCUCGCGAGAGCAAGCGGACCUCAUAAAGUAUGUCGUAGUCCGGAUUGGAGUCUGCAACUCGACUCCAUGAAGUCGGAAUCGCUAGUAAUCGUAGAUCAGAAUGCUACGGUGAAUACGUUCCCGGGCCUUGUACACACCGCCCGUCACACCAUGGGAGUGGGUUGCAAAAGAAGUAGGUAGCUUAACCUUCGGGAGGGCGCUUACCACUUUGUGAUUCAUGACUGGGGUGAAG
rnacentral:rRNA from 1 species